GACGAACGCUGGCGGCGUGCUUAACACAUGCAAGUCGAGCGGCGCGGCGAACGGGCGAGUAACGCGUGAGUAACUGCCCCCCUCUCUGGGAUAACAGUUGGAAACGGCUGCCAAUACCGGAUAGUGGGGGAUGACUCGCGUCCUAUCAGCUUGUUGGUUGGGUAGUGGCCUACCACGGCGACGCCGGGUAGCCGGCCUGGGAGGGCGACCGGCCACAUGGGGCUAAGGUACGGACCAAACGCCAACGGGGGGCAGCAGUGGGGAAUAUUGCACAAUGGGGGAAACCCUGAUGCAGAAACGCCGGUGCGGGAUGACGGCCUUCGGGUUGUAAACCGCUUUCAGCCAUGACGCGGUAGUGGCAGAAGAAGCACCGGCUAACUACGUGCCAGCAGCCGCGGUAAUUC
rnacentral:rRNA from 1 species